UGAACCUGCGGAAGGAUCAUUGUCGAAACCUGCGCAGCAGAACGACCCGCGAACACGUCACAACUCCGGGGGGACGGCCCGCCGUUCCCCCCGCCGUGGCGCGGACGGGAGGCGUCGCGCUCGCGCGCGCCCCUCCGUCCCGCGCCUCGGACCCACGAACCCCGGCGCAACGCGCGCCAAGGAAACUCAAACGAGAGAGCCGGUCGGCCUCGCCCCGGACACGGUGCGGCGUCGGCCGUGCCUCCUUUCGAUACGCAACAACGACUCUCGGCAACGGAUAUCUCGGCUCUCGCAUCGAUGAAGAACGUAGCGAAAUGCGAUACUUGGUGUGAAUUGCAGAAUCCCGUGAACCAUCGAGUCUUUGAACGCAAGUUGCGCCCCAAGCCGUCAGGCCGAGGGCACGCCUGCCUGGGCGUCACGCAUCGUUGCCCCCCCGCCGCGCCCUUCCUCUCCGGGGAACGGGCCGCGCGCGGGGGAGCGGAGAAUGGCCUCCCGCGAGUCCCCCCUCGCGGUUGGCCGAAAUACGGAUCCCCGGCCAGCGGUGGCCGCGACGUUCGGUGGUCGUAACGCGCCUCGUGAACCCGUCGCGCGCUCCGCUUCGCCUCUCGCGGGAUCCCCGACCCUGAGGCGGCGUAGGCCGCUCGCAUCGCGACCCCAGGUCAGGCGGGACUACCCGCUGAGUUUAA
rnacentral:rRNA from 1 species